rnacentral:piRNA from 1 species
UGUUAGAAGGCAUUUGAAAGUGAAUU